GAUGAAGAACGCAGCGAAAUGCGAUAAGUAGUGUGAAUUGCAGAAUUCAGUGAAUCAUCGAAUCUUUGAACGCACAUUGCGCCCCUUGGUAUCCCGAGGGGCAUGCCUGUUCGAGCGUCAUUUCACCGCUCAAGCCUGGCUUGGUGUUGGGCGACGUCCUCUUUGGGGACGCGCCUCGAAACGCUCGGCGGCGUGGCACCGGCUUUAAGCGUAGCAGAAUCUUUCGCUUUGGAAGUCGGGGCCCCGUCUGCCGGAAGACCUGCUCGCAAGGUUGACCUCGGAUCAGGCAGGGAUACCCGCUGAACUUAAGCAUAUCAAUAAGCGGAGGA
rnacentral:misc_RNA from 1 species